AUGAACGCUGGCGGCGUGCCUAAUCCCUGCCAGUCGAGCGAACAGACGAGGAGCUUGCUCCUCUGACGUUAGCGGCGGACGGGUGAGUAACACGUGGAUAACCUACCUAUAAGACUGGGAUAACUUCGGGAAACCGGAGCUAAUACCGGAUAAUAUAUUGAACCGCAUGGUUCAAUAGUGAAAGACGGUUUUGCUGUCACUUAUAGAUGGAUCCGCGCCGCAUUAGCUAGUUGGUAAGGUAACGGCUUACCAAGGCAACGAUGCGUAGCCGACCUGAGAGGGUGAUCGGCCACACUGGAACUGAGACACGGUCCAGACUCCUACGGGAGGCAGCAGUAGGGAAUCUUCCGCAAUGGGCGAAAGCUUGACGGAGCAACGCCGCGUGAGUGAUGAAGGUCUUCGGAUCGUAAAACUCUGUUAUUAGGGAAGAACAAAUGUGUAAGUAACUAUGCACGUCUUGACGGUACCUAAUCAGAAAGCCACGGCUAACUACGUG
rnacentral:rRNA from 1 species